rnacentral:rRNA from 1 species
AAUGAACGUUGGCGGCGUGGAUUAGGCAUGCAAGUCGUACGAGAAUCGUAGCAAUACGAGGAAAGUGGCGGACGGGAGAGGAUUACGUGGGAAUCUACCCUCAGAACUGGGAUAGCGGCGGGAAACUGCCGGUAAUACCCGAUAAUGUCUGUGGACCAAAGGUGUGAUUCCGUCUGGGGAUGAGCCCACGUCCUAUUAGCUAGGUGGCAGGGUAAUGGCCUACCAAGGCAAUGAUGGGUAGCGGGUGUGAGAGCAUGACCCGCCUCACUGGGACUGAGAACGGCCCAGAGACCUACGGGUGGCUGCAGUCGAGAAUCUUCGGCAAUGAGCGCAAGCUUGACCGGGCGACGCCGCGUGCGGGAUGAAGGCCGUCGGGUUGUAAACCGCUGUCGUAGGGGAGCAAGAGAUGAGGGUACUCCCUCUGAUUUGAGCGAUCCUAGGAGGAAGGACUGGCUAAGUUCGUGCCAGCCGCCGCGGUAAAAC